UGAAAAUUUCAAAUUAUACUCUAAUGCACAAAAGACUUUGAAAAACAAACUUGGACUCCAUUAAUUUUCUGAAAGAUAUGCAUGCCUAUGCCAGAUUUCCAUGUGAAGCAAGAACAAUAUUCUUUAAUGACAAUGUGAAGAGACAAAAUGCUUAUAAUGAUUCUGGGUGACGAAUUUAUGAAAUGUGGAGGGAGCCACCAUUAAGAUAACCUUCUUGCCGAAGCUGAGACGAUUCCACUCAAAUUUAGUGGUCUCAGACUCAGCCCACCAUGCUACUAUUUCUACCAAUUCAUUCAAGUACAUUGCUUUUGUGGUGAAAUUCUAAUCCAAAUGUCGGGGCCAUAUUUGGUAAAUGUAGUUUAAACUUUUUCUUCCAAAGUUAAAUUUGGCUCUUGGUCAGUUUACUACAAGGAUUUGUGGAACUUAGAGCCCAACAGUAUUCGGUUCGGCUUGGUUUGAUUGUAAGCCUAGGUGACACAAUACUUAAAAAUAUAAAUAUGUCAAUUCUAUA